GAUGUGACUUGGAGUGAAGUUUCCAAUACUUUCUUUUGUGCAUGUAGCCGUAGAGAUUGCGGGGUCAUAGUAAUUUUUCUGAGCCGUGUCAUUCUUCUUACCUUUCUUAGGCUGAUUUUUCUCCUCAAUCCUCAUAGCCUUCAUGCUAACAUCACUAAUAUCUUCAACUUUAAAGAGCUUCAGCUCCUUUCGAAUGCUCUCAUAGAAAACUCUAACGUACU
rnacentral:lncRNA from 1 species